CCUACGGGUGGCUGCAGUGGGGAAUAUUGGACAAUGGGGGGAACCCUGAUCCAGCCAUGCCGCGUGUGUGAAGAAGGCCCUCGGGUUGUAAAGCACUUUCAGUGAGGAAGAACGCCUGGUGGUUAAUACCCAUCAGGAAAGACAUCACUCACAGAAGAAGCACCGGCUAACUCCGUGCCAGCAGCCGCGGUAAUACGGAGGGUGCGAGCGUUAAUCGGAAUUACUGGGCGUAAAGCGCGCGUAGGUGGCUUGAUAAGCCGGUUGUGAAAGCCCCGGGCUCAACCUGGGAACGGCAUCCGGAACUGUCAAGCUAGAGUGCAGGAGAGGAAGGUAGAAUUCCCGGUGUAGCGGUGAAAUGCGUAGAGAUCGGGAGGAAUACCAGUGGCGAAGGCGGCCUUCUGGACUGACACUGACACUGAGGUGCGAAGGCGUGGGUAGCAAACAGGAUUAGAUACCCCUGUAGUC
rnacentral:rRNA from 1 species